UUACGGUCAAAUCACGUUGAAAACACCGGUUCUCGUUCGAUCACCGAAGUUAAGCAUCGUAGAGCCAGGUCAGUACUUAGAUGGGGGACCGCUUGGGAACACCUGGUACUGUAAG